GACAGAGGUGCCGAGCGUUAGGCUGGAAUCGACUAGGGCUUAAAGCGUGUGUAGGCGGUAUCUGUAAGUACCUUGUGAAAACUCCCACGGCUCAACCGUGGAACUGGCUUGGUAUACUGCGGGUCGUUGAGCCACCUAGGGGCUAAGUGGAACGAAACGGUGGAGCGGUGAAAUGCGGUAGAAUAUCGUUUGGAACGCCAAUGGUGAAAACAACUUGCUGGGGGUGUGCUGACGCUGAGACACGAAAGCCAGGGGGAGACAAACGGGG
rnacentral:rRNA from 1 species